UCAUCUCAUCUGGAAAGAGAGAUGGCUUAAAGGGGUGCGCGGGCUUCUUCCGCGUAUUUGCUCCAGGAUGGGACUGCGUCCGAUCAGGCUGUUGGCGGGGUAAUGGCCCACCAAGCCAGUGACCGGUACGGGCCUUGAGAGAGGUGGCCCGGAGAUGGACACUGAGAGAAGGGUCCAGGUCCUACGGGGCGCAGCAGGCGCGAAACCUUCGCAACGCGCGAAAGCGUGACGAGGUUAAUCCGAGUGAUUUCCGCUGAGGAGAUCUUUUGUCAGCUGUAAAUAGGCAGGCGAAUAAGGGGAGGGCAAGCCUGGUGUCAGCCGCCGCGGUAAUACCAGCUCCUCGAGUGGUCGGGGCGAUUAUUGGGCCUAAAGCAUCCGUAGCCGGUUCCGUAGGUCCUCUGUUAAAUCCAACCGCUCAACGGUUGACCUGCAGAGGAUACCGCGAGACUAGGAGGCGGGAGAGGCGGACGGUACUCCGCGUGUAGGGGUAAAAUCCUUUGAUCCGCGGAAGA
rnacentral:rRNA from 1 species